rnacentral:rRNA from 1 species
GACGAACGCUGGCGGCGUGCUUAACACAUGCAAGUCGAACGGUAAGGCCCUUUCGGGGGUACACGAGUGGCGAACGGGUGAGUAACACGUGGGUGAUCUGCCCUGCACUUUGGGAUAAGCCUGGGAAACUGGGUCUAAUACCGGAUAGGACUACGCGAUGCAUGUCGUGUGGUGGAAAGCUUUUGCGGUGUGGGAUGGGCCCGCGGCCUAUCAGCUUGUUGGUGGGGUGAUGGCCUACCAAGGCGACGACGGGUAGCCGGCCUGAGAGGGUGUCCGGCCACACUGGGACUGAGAUACGGACCAGACUCCUACGGGAGGCAGCAGUGGGGAAUAUUGCACAAUGGGCGCAAGCCUGAUGCAGCGACGCCGCGUGGGGGAUGACGGCCUUCGGGUUGUAAACCCCUUUCAGCACAGACGAAGCGUAAGUGACGGUAUGUGCAGAAGAAGCACCGGCCAACUACGUG